AAAAACCGUAUUUUUGAGUUUUUAUAUCCAAUAUUGACCGUCUGUUUUAUUUGAAAAUUUUUUAUGAUUAAUAUUUUUAUUAUUAUUAGAUAACAAAACAUGAAUAGGACUUUAUGCGUAAUUAUUUUUUUAAAUAAGAGAGAUGGUCAAACGUUAGACAUGAAAACCUACGACUUUACUUAAA
rnacentral:pre_miRNA from 1 species